AACGAACGCUGGCGGCAUGCCUAACACAUGCAAGUCGAACGAGACCUUCGGGUCUAGUGGCGCACGGGUGCGUAACGCGUGGGAACCUGCCCUUAGGUUCGGAAUAGCUCCCCGAAAGGGGUGCUAAUACCGGAUAAUGUCUUCCGACCAAAGAUUUAUCGCCUUUGGAUGGGCCCGCGUUGGAUUAGCUAGUUGGUAGGGUAAAAGCCUACCAAGGCGACGAUCCAUAGCUGGUCUGAGAGGAUGAUCAGCCACACUGGGACUGAGACACGGCCCAGACUCCUACGGGAGGCAGCAGUGGGGAAUAUUGGACAAUGGGCGAAAGCCUGAUCCAGCAAUGCCGCGUGAGUGAUGAAGGCCUUAGGGUUGUAAAGCUCUUUUACCCGGGAUGAUAAUGACAGUACCGGGAGAAUAAGCACCGGCUAACUCCGUG
rnacentral:rRNA from 1 species